rnacentral:rRNA from 1 species
GACGAACGCUGGCGGCGUGCCUAAUACAUGCAAGUCGAGCGCAGGAAACUGACGGAACUCUUCGGAGGGAAGGCAGUGGAAUGAGCGGCGGACGGGUGAGUAACACGUAAGGAACCUGCCUCAAGGAUUGGGAUAACUCCGAGAAAUCGGAGCUAAUACCGGAUAGUUCAACGGACCGCAUGGUCCGUUGAUGAAAGGCGCUCCGGCGUCACCUUGAGAUGGCCUUGCGGUGCAUUAGCUAGUUGGUGGGGUAACGGCUCACCAAGGCGACGAUGCAUAGCCGACCUGAGAGGGUGAUCGGCCACACUGGGACUGAGUCACGGCCCAGACUCCUACGGGAGGCAGCAGUAGGGAAUCUUCCACAAUGGACGAAAGUCUGAUGGAGCAACGCCGCGUGAGUGAUGAAGGUUUUCGGAUCGUAAAACUCUGUUGUAAGGGAAGAACACGUACGAGAGGAAAUGCUCGUACCUUGACGGUACCUUACGAGAAAGCCACGGCAAACUACGUGCCAGCCGCCGCCGUAA